rnacentral:lncRNA from 1 species
AUUCAUGAUACAAUAGGCUGGCAGCUCUUUUAUCCACAUCAAUUUAUUUGGUUUACUCUCUGAUUUCAAUUAACAAAGCAUUGAAAAAUGUAAAUUGGAAAGGCAUACCCUGUUGAUAUGGUGUAAUCAAUGAACAGAGGGACUCUCAGAUAAUCAAGGCAUAUUAGUUAAUUAACAUUUUACCUGCUGCUGUUUAAAAAUAA